rnacentral:rRNA from 1 species
AGAAGUGAGAAUGCCGGUGUGAGUAGCGAAAGACGGGUGAGAAUCCCGUCCACCGAUUGACUAAGGUUUCCAGAGGAAGGCUCGUCCGCUCUGGGUUAGUCGGGUCCUAAGCUGAGGCCGACAGGCGUAGGCGAUGGAUAACAGGUUGAUAUUCCUGUACCACCAUUAUUCGUUUUAAGCGAUGGGGGGACGCAGUAGGAUAGGCGAAGCGUGCUGUUGGAGUGCACGUCCAAGCAGUGAGAUUGAGUGUUAGGCAAAUCCGGCACUCUUAAGAUUGAGCUGUGAUGGGGAGAGGAACUUGUUCCUCGAGUCGUUGAUUUCACACUGCCGAGAAAAGCCUCUAGCUAGAAUAACGGUGCCCGUACCGCAAACCGACACAGGUAGUCAAGAUGAGAAUUCUAAGGUGAGCGAGCGAACUCUCGUUAAGGAACUCGGCAAAAUGACCCCGUAACUU